rnacentral:rRNA from 1 species
GAUGAACGCUGGCGGCGUGCUUAAUGCAUGCAAGUCGAACGAAGCACCUUGGACAGAAUCCUUCGGGAGGAAGACCAUUGUGACUGAGUGGCGGACGGGUGAGUAACGCGUGGGUAACCUGCCUUGUACAGGGGGAUAACAGUUGGAAACGACUGCUAAUACCGCAUAAGCGCACAGUACCGCAUGGUACGGUGUGAAAAACUCCGGUGGUACAAGAUGGACCCGCGUCUGAUUAGCUGGUUGGUGAGGUAACGGCCCACCAAGGCGACGAUCAGUAGCCGACUUGAGAGAGUGAUCGGCCACAUUGGGACUGAGACACGGCCCAAACUCCUACGGGAGGCAGCAGUAGGGAAUAUUGCACAAUGGGGGAAACCCUGAUGCAGCGACGCCGCGUGAAGGAAGAAGUAUUUCGGUAUGUAAACUUCUAUCAGCAAGGAAGAAAAUGACGGUACUUGACUAAGAAGC